GUAGGUGGCAAGCGUUGUCCGGAUUUACUGGGUGUAAAGGGCGUGCAGCCGGGUCUGCAAGUCAGAUGUGAAAUCCAUGGGCUCAACCCAUGAACUGCAUUUGAAACUGUAGAUCUUGAGUGUCGGAGGGGCAAUCGGAAUUCCUAGUGUAGCGGUGAAAUGCGUAGAUAUUAGGAGGAACACCAGUGGCGAAGGCGGAUUGCUGGACGAUAACUGACGGUGAGGCGCGAAAGUGUGGGGAGCAAACAGGAUUAGAUACCCUGGUAGUCCACACUGUAAACGAUGAAUACUAGGUGUGCGGGGACUGACCCCCUGCGUGCCGCAGUAAACACAAUAAGUAUUCCACCUGGGGAGU
rnacentral:rRNA from 1 species